rnacentral:rRNA from 1 species
GACGAACGCUGGCGGCGUGCUUAACACAUGCAAGUCGAACGAAGUGGCGAACGGGUGUGUAACGCGUAAUCAACCUGCCCUUCAGAGGGGCCCAACAGUUGGAAACGACUGCUAAUACCCCAUACUGAAUGCGGGUUUUGCGUCUGAUUCGCUAGUUGGAGGGGUACCGGCCCACCAAGGCGAUGAUCAGUAGCCGGUCUGAGAGGAUGAACGGCCACAUUGGGACUGAGACACGGCCCAGACUCCUACGGGAGGCAGCAGUGGGGAAUCUUCCGAAAUGGACGAAAGUCUGACGGGGCAACGCCGCGUGAGUGAUGACGGCCUUCGGGUUGUAAAGCUCUGUUAAUCGGGACGCGGUACCGGAAUAGAAAGCCACGGCUAACUACGUGCCAGCAGCCGCGGUAAUAC